GCCGCGCUGGCGAGGAGGAGCCGCCGCCUCACGCUGCGGCACCGGCCCGGCCAGCGCAGGUGGCAGUGUAGAAGCCAAGAACAAAAAUUGGCAGAAAUUGUGUUCUGUGUACGAGAAUAUGAAGAGUGUACUCAUGACUAAGCACAGGAACCUGGAAAACCACAGGAUUUAGUCAGGUGAUCCCUGAUGAGUAGCCAGCCGACCAAGAAAGGACCAGCACACAGGUCGUUUUGGAUUAAUGCUGUGGAUCAAUCAACUCAGAACCUGUAGUUGCCUAUCAGUCGCUCAGUAGUCAGUGUAGAUUCUGUCUUUACAAUCAGCAGCUACAUCUGGCUACUGGGUCUCUGAUGACAUCUCCUGCCUCCUGUCUAGACUUUUUGUUGGAUUUGUGUCUUCUCUCCUGGGUGCAGAACAAGUUCACAGUGCGAGCAAGUUUAACACCUGAGGUGUGGCCCCAAAUAAAGGAUUGGAUAUCUGUUGGAUCUGCUUCACAGUGGGAAUCAGAUUAAACACCUGGAUAUUGGAUUGGAAAGCAACAGCCUUUCUUGUAGCCUAGUCCUGGGCUUUACAGUAGUCAAAACCAAUGAGAAUAUUAGCAAAUUUCAGCUAAGAAGAUAGCUGGACUUCACAAUUAUCAGUGAAGGCUCUUGGAUCUCUCCUGCAAAGGGAAGGUAUUGAAACACCUUUGCUGAUUGCAUACCUGCAGUGUGUUAAGGGAGGAAACCGUGCUGUGAACUGGGUGUGCAUAGCUGGUUUUUACCAGUUGUGUGAAGACUGUCCAGGUUUGGGGCAUGAACCUGGCAUACAAUGUAGAUUUCUGUGUUUGUUAAGCAACAGCUACAUUGUCUGCUGGGUUUCCAGCUGCCUGGAAAUACAAAGUGGAGGGUUAUCUACUUUUUUUUUUUUUGGGUCAAAUUACCUCCCUUAUGUCUCUGAGGAAGACAGUGCAAUUCAUGCCCAGUUGCUGCCUCCCCCUCUCUUGUCACAUAAGGGAUCCACUUGGUGUCAACUGGAGCUUGGAGACAGGGUAGAGCUGAUAUUAUUUAAGAGAAUAAAACUUCAAGGAAUUGAAGUGUGGAGAUACCUGAACACGAAUUGAUGUCAGGCAGAAGCUAAUGCCUGCUUUCUGAGUAACCAUUAGUUUCCCUUGGUAAUGGUGCUUCACUUUUUUUUUUCCCAAAAAAUCUUCAGAUGGAAAGCUAUAUAUGUGUGUGCUGUGCAGUUAUGGAAUUCUCUUUGGAGAAGGGAGUAGUGGGGAGCUAUUUAUAGGCCUGACUUUUUUAAAAAAGUAUGCUGUGUAUAGUGUGACUUAUAUACAGAAAGUGUCUAGAAAUAAAUGGGGGGAAUAAGAUAAUGUCUGGAGUGCUGAUUCCAGCUGGAUCUCUUGUCACUUAGUGGUACCAAACCUAAUAUGCUUCACUUGUGCAUCAUAUCCAGCCACAGUGAGAAAAAGGGCAGUUUCAGUUUGAGAACAUUGGGCCUGGAAUAGCAGGGGACUGUUGUCCUUCCAGACCUGGUCUGCAGCCACAGCAGUAAAUGGGGAAGCUCCACAUGUCUGUGCUGUUAACCCUUUGCUGGUGAGCUCCAUGCCAUUUCCCUGUGGCAAUCAGGAGAGUUGUGAUGGUUGUGAUUCCUGCUGGGAAGGAAUGGAUGGUUUGGCUAAGCUUGUCUGGACUUUACAAAGGUGAUUUUAGAUCAGCAGGCAUCCAGAACCCUUCCUCUGAAAGGGCAAUACUCAGGAGGCUGAAGGGCUCCUAAGUGAGUGCUCCUGUUAAAAACUGUGUAUUUUGUUAAAACAAAUAAAACUUCUCAUGCAAAGAA